AGCGUUGUCCGGAGUUACUGGGCGUAAAGGGUGCSCAKGCGGUGGCCCGCGUGGGCGGUGAAAGCUCCUGGCUCAACUGGGAGAGGGCCGUCCAGACGGGGUCACUUGAGGGGCGGAGAGGGGCGUGGAAUUCCGGGUGGAGCGGUGAAAUGCGUAGAGAUCCGGAGGAACACCGACGGCGAAGGCAGCGCCCUGGCCGCCAUCUGACGCUCAGGCACGAAAGCUGGGGGAGCGAACAGGAUUAGAUACCCUGGUAGUCCCAGCUGUAAACGAUGUCCACCGGGUGCCGGGGGUAUCGACCCCCUCGGUGCCGCAGCUAACGUGAUGAGUGGACCGCCUGGGGAGUACGGCCGCAAGGUUA
rnacentral:rRNA from 1 species